ACGGGAGGCAGCAGUGGGGGAUAUUGCACAAUGGAGGAAACCCUGAUGCAGCGACGCCGCGUGAGUGAUGAAGUAUUUCGGUAUGUAAAGCUCUAUCAGCAGGGAAGAUAAUGACGGUACCUGACUAAGAAGCACCGGCUAAAUACGUGCCAGCAGCCGCGGUAAUACGUAUGGUGCAAGCGUUAUCCGGAUUUACUGGGUGUAAAGGGUGCGUAGGUGGUGAGACAAGUCUGAAGUGAAAAUCCGGGGCUCAACCCCGGAACUGCUUUGGAAACUGCCUGACUAGAGUACAGGAGAGGUAAGUGGAAUUCCUAGUGUAGCGGUGAAAUGCGUAGAUAUUAGGAGGAACACCAGUGGCGAAGGCGACUUACUGGACUGCUACUGACCCUGAGGCACGAAAGCGUGGGGAGCAAACAGGAUUAGAUACCCUGGUA
rnacentral:rRNA from 1 species